UACGAAGGGGGCUAGCGUUGUUCGGAAUCACUGGGCGUAAAGGGCGCGUAGGCGGCUUUGUAAGUUAGAGGUGAAAGCCCGGAGCUCAACUCCGGAAUUGCCUUUAAGACUGCAUCGCUUGAAUCCAGGAGAGGUGAGUGGAAUUCCGAGUGUAGAGGUGAAAUUCGUAGAUAUUCGGAAGAACACCAGUGGCGAAGGCGGCUCACUGGACUGGUAUUGACGCUGAGGUGCGAAAGCGUGGGGAGCAAACAGG
rnacentral:rRNA from 1 species